CUGUUUGUCCAUCUGUCCAAUUACCUGUGACUCUGUGCAUCUUCUUGUCCAUUCAUCUGCCCACCCAUCCGUCCCUCUGUCUGCCCACCAGCCGCCCCUCUCCUCCUGGGCUGCAGAGCCAUGGCCCGGGGCUAUGGGGCCACAGUCGGCCUAGUCCUGCUGGGGCUGGGGCUGGCGCUGGCUGUCAUUGUGCUGGCUGUGGUCCUUUCUCGACACCAAGCCCCCUGUGGCCCCCAGGCCUUUGCCCACGCUGCUGUUGCCGCUGACUCGAAGGUCUGCUCGGAUAUUGGACG
rnacentral:lncRNA from 1 species